rnacentral:misc_RNA from 1 species
GAUGAAGAACGCAGCGAAAUGCGAUAAGUAAUGUGAAUUGCAGAAUUCAGUGAAUCAUCGAAUCUUUGAACGCACAUUGCGCCCCCUGGUAUUCCGGGGGGCAUGCCUGUUCGAGCGUCAUUUCACCACUCAAGCCUCGCUUGGUAUUGGGCAACGCGGUCCGCCGCGUGCCUCAAAUCGACCGGCUGGGUCUUCUGUCCCCUAAGCGUUGUGGAAACUAUUCGCUAAAGGGUGUUCGGGAGGCUACACCGUAAAACAACCCCAUUUCUAAGGUUGACCUCGGAUCAGGUAGGGAUACCCGCUGAACUUAAGCAUAUCAAUAAGCGGAGGA